UAAAGCGUCAGAAACUACAUUCACCGAAACCGGUAACUGGCGGCGUAGGUGAAACCGAUCUGGCGCGUGCAGCUGUGCUCGCAGGGAUGCUCGGUGGCUCCUCAUCAAAGCGGCAAGGGGUGUGCGUGGACAUCCGUAGGGUUGCGCUCUGGGUCCGAGAGCGUUAACGUGUUUUUGCUGUUGGAAGAUGGAAUGGAGCGUGUGCCUGUUAAAUCUCAGGGCAGUCAAAAGCUAGGAGGGACCCUGAGCGGGUUUGGUGGCACAACUGCGGUUUUAAAAGGUCUUGACCGUUUGGAGCAACGGCCUGGAAAAAAAUCAUUCCUUUUUUGCAACGAGGCAGUUCGCAAGGACAGAUGUGUUGCUGCGCUCUUUAGCAAAAAUACUCAACUUGUGAUGUAUAGGGUGAGGAAGUCUUGGCUAUACUAAGGCUUGAGAAAAUGUAUGUAGGUAUCUGUGUCUGUCACCUGCGUGUAUCUAGGAAAGUGCGUUCUAGUGAAACUAAAGUUACCAAUGAGUCAAAAAAAAAAAGAAAAAAAAAAAAGGCACGAUUGUCUGAAAAAUGCAAAAGCUCUAGUGGCCUGUGUCAACAACUGUACCAAAGAUGAUGCAAAAAUACUUUUUGCUCUGCUCCGUCGUACUGUCUUCACAAACCUUCACAAAAAAAGGCAGUUUUGGAUUCCUACCCAGCUUUAUGCUAACGGGUUUUUUCUUCUCUCAGCUGGAUGUCAGCUGGCACCGUUUCGCCGUGGUUGCCCUUUCUUCUGCCAUGACAAUACGAGACAGAUGGAAAGAAUCCAUAGCGGUCUGCAAGUACAAGCCGAAACCAGGACAACCCCAAACCCCCUGAUUCUGGGUCUGCCGCGGAAAAGAACAAACGAAUUUGGGACUCCUGGGAAAGCCAAAUCUGCCUGGAUUUGUGCAGCUGGAAAGGAAAAAAAACCACCCCAUUUUCAUGCACAGAAGCACAACCAAAAGAUCACCCCUUUUUAUGUUGUGGGAAAGCACUGAAACACACCCCAAACUGAGUGUUUUGAAAAAGCAAAGACUCCCCAGUUUGGGGAAGAUUGGGGGUGAAGCACAGGCAGUUUGAGGGGCAUUGCUGGGGGUCCUCCCAGUGUGGAUGAUCUGGUGUGGAUUCUCUGUUGCUGUGAGUCAUCCCAGGUGAGUUACCUGCUGUGGAUCAUCCCGGGUGGACUCCCUGGGGUAGGUCAUCCCCACCCGUGUCCCCCCAUGCACCUUUGUACCCUCACCUACCCUCCCCCCCGUGUGUGUUUCUCCCCCAUAUGCCCCCCGUUGCUCCGGCCCGCCCCCUUCACCCACGCGAGUUUUUAACCCACGCGAGUUGUUUCCCCCCGCAUCCCCUGCUCUCCUGUCUCCCGCCCCCCCUCCCUCCUUUCCCUCCACCAUAUUCCACACCACCACCCCCCAUCAUCCGUCAGGCUCCAGACCCCUGGCAUGCUGCCUGCACCCCAUUCUCUGUCAUUUUUUUUUCUUCUUUUCCUUACAAGUUGUUGUUGUUGUUGUUGUUGUUGUUUCUUUUGAAUGAUUAAACUGUUUUCGUUUCAAGCCACGAGUUUUCUCACUUUCGCCCUUCGGAUUGUCUCCCCGUCCCACUGGGGGCGGGGGAGCGAGUGAGCGGUCGCGUGGGGCUUCGUUGCCGGCUGGCGUUAAACCACGACACGAGCAUCUGUUGAGUGGCUGCUGUCACUCCCACGACCCUGGUGCCACAUGCAGACGGAUACAGCAGUCCCUGGAGCUUGCUCCAGGGCAAACCAACCCCCCCCCCCGCCGUUUGCAGGUUCCCUGUGCUGCUUCUCCUCUCUAGAUAAUGGGGUGGGGGGGCAGGGACAGAAGCGACCACCCGAAUUGUCUGUUCUUUGCGCUUGACUGCUGUAACCGCUCCAGCCACUCGGGUGCUUUUUGGAACGGAGGCAAUGAAGAUGACUGCCCGGGCCGCGAGUGGGGAAAGGGCAGGGCAAUGGAAGCCCUGUGCCCCCAGUAAGUAGUUACCGCCUGCGGCUGGUCUCUACUGGGCUGAGCUGUCAGUCAUCCCUCAUCCAGCUGAUGCUCAGAAGAGGCUCGUUACGGGGAUGCUGCUGCGCGGCGACCGAAGGUGGGAACUGGCGCUCGGGAGGCGCGCAUGCGCGGUGGCGCGUGUCGCUGCGUCCCGCUGUUGCCU